rnacentral:misc_RNA from 1 species
GAUGAAGAACGCAGCGAAAUGCGAUAAGUAGUGUGAAUUGCAGAAUUCCGUGAAUCAUCGAAUCUUUGAACGCACAUUGCGCCCCCUGGCAUUCCGGGAGGCAUGCCUGUUCGAGCGUCAUUUCAACCUUCAAGCCUGGCUUGGUGUUGGGCGCUGUCCCGCCUCCGCGCGCGGACUCGCCCCAAAUGAAUUGGCAGUCGCACCCUCCGAGCCGCGAGCGCAGCACAAGUCGCGCGGGCGGAACUCUGGGGGGACGGACGCUCCACAAGACCCUUUCUCAGUCUUGACCUCGGAUCAGGUAGGGAUACCCGCUGAACUUAAGCAUAUCAAUAAGCGGAGGA